UACAAGGGAACUAAUGAGAAUCAAUGGAACAACAAAAGCACCUGUCAUGAAUUAUGCAGCCGAGACCUCACUUGGAGUGGUAACUAUAAGAGCAUUUAACAUGGCAAACAGGGUUAUGUUGAUCCAGGGCUUGUUGGACUUUCUCUUUCUUAUGCUUUGGCUUUGACAAGCACCCAAGUGUUCACGAUUCGAUGGUAUAGCAGCUUGACUAAUUAUAUUAUUUCAGUGGAACGAAUCAAACAGUUCAUGCACAUACCUCCAGAGCCUCCAGCAAUUGUGGAAGAUAGAAGGCCACCAUCAUCAUGGCCUUCUGAAGGGAGGAUAAAGUUACAGGAUCUAAG